CCGUCUUCUGCGUCGCUCACGCUGGGAGCUGUAGACCGGAGCUGUUCCUGUUCGGCCAUCUUGGCUCCUCAGAGUGGCUGAUUUUCAAGAGGACAUGAAGAUACAACAAAUGAUUUGAGAGAGCUCUUCAAAUGGCAAACACCUAGCAUGUGGGGAUCUGAAGCACCUCUUUGUGGGUUUCACUCUCAACACUCUUGGAAAAUCACCGAGUGUCAUGAGAGGUGUUAUUGAUGCAGGCCUGUCAUGCAGGGGACUGACAGAGAGGCCUCCUCAGAAAGACUGAGAUGGCCCACAGCAGAGGGCAGAAAAAAAAAAACCCUUUCCUGAUUAUUGCAAUCCUGGCAAUGUCAGCACCUGGUUACCAACUGCAGCGAUGAAAAGUAAUACAAACAUUUAGGUAUUGAUAUAUAGAAGACAUAAGAGUGAGGGGAAAAUGUUUUCCUAUAAACAUUUCUCAAAUAAUUUUGUGUUGUUUCAGUAAAGGUCACUGUGAUUUUGUAGGCCCUCAGGUGUGGGUUUAAUUGUGUUUACUUAUGAUGUAUGAUUACAGAAAGGUAUUAUUCCUGAAAAACCAUCAUAAUAUAAUUAAAAAGUUGGCAAAA